UACGUAGGGGGCAAGCGUUAUCCGGAUUUACUGGGUGUGAAGGGGGCGCAGACGGCGAUGCAAGCCAGGAGUGAAAGCCCGGGGCCCAACCCCGGGACUGCUCUUGGAACUGCGUGGCUGGAGUGCAGGAGGGGCAGGCGGAAUUCCUGGUGUAGCGGUGAAAUGCGUAGAUAUCAGGAGGAGCACCGGUGGCGAAGGCGGCCUGCUGGACUGCAACUGACGUUGAGGCCCGAAAGCGUGGGGAGCAAACAGG
rnacentral:rRNA from 1 species